rnacentral:tRNA from 3 species
GCCGGCUUAGCUCAGCUGGUAGAGCAGUUGAUUUGUAAUCAUCAGGUCGGGAGUUCGAGUCCCCCAGCCGGCACCA